rnacentral:tRNA from 1 species
GCCGGUGUAGCUCAGUUGGUAGAGCAACGCAUUCGUAAUGCGUGGGCCAGGGGUUCGAUCCCUCUCACCGGCACCA